rnacentral:rRNA from 1 species
CAAUAGCGUAUAUUAAAGUUGUUGCGGUUAAAAAGCUCGUAGUUGGAUUUCUGUUGGGAACGACCGGUCCGCCCAUUGGGUGUGUAUCUGGCUUGUUCUCGGCAUCUUCUUGGUGAACGUUGCUGCACUUGACUGUGUGGAGCGCUACCCAGGACUUUUACUUUGAGGAAAUUAGAGUGUUUCAAGCAGGCACAUGCCUUGAAUACAUUAGCAUGGAAUAAUAAGAUAGGACCUCGGUUCUAUUUUGUUGGUUUCUAGAGCUGAGGUAAUGAUUAAUAGGGAUAGUUGGGGGCAUUCGUAUUUAACCGUCAGAGGUGAAAUUCUUGGAUUUGUUAAAGACGGACUACUGCGAAAGCAUUUGCCAAGGAUGUUUUCAUUGA